rnacentral:rRNA from 1 species
AUGGGUGGGGAGGGAAUCAAACCAGUCGCAGUCGCGGCCGCAGUCAAGCAAAGGGACACACACGAAGCUGCCUCCCUGCCGCGCCGCGCCGCGCCGUGCGAGCGAGAUCUGAGGGCCGCGCGGAAGGAGAAGGGAGACCCGUCCCCGCGAGAUCCCGUCGGGCGCCCUCCCCUCCUCCCCGCCGACGGGGCCGGCGCGGCGAUGGUGCGGCCGGCGGGCCUCCUCGACCCGGCGACGAGGCGGCGCCCGUUCCUCGACCAGCGCCGCCCGUCCUUCCGGCGCCGCUGGCAGCAGCGCCCGCUCUGGGCGCGCCUCCUGCUCUCGCUCCUCCUCGCCCUCGCCUGCGCGCUCCUCCUCCUCGGCCUCGCCGGCUCCCCCGACCCCUCCUCCCCGCCCGCCACCGACUCCUCCUCCUCCUCCGGAUCCGCCGACGCCGACGCCGAUGCCGUCUCCUCCCCUCUCCUCCGCCAGAGAUCUUACCUCGAGGUCAUCACGGACACGCACAACAUGACCGACGAAAUGCUGAACGCUCACUCGCUUUCCCGCCAGCUCAUGGACCAGAUUUCCCUCGCAAAGACCUACAUCACGGUCGCGAAAGAAGCCAGCAACCUGCAGUUCGUGGCGGAGCUUGGUGCGCUGGUGCGGCGGGAGCAGAGCAUCCUCGCGCGUGCUGCGGCCCAUGGUGGAAUGGUAGUCAAGGAGGACGCGGAGAAGGCGAUCAGGGACAUGGCCGUGCUGUUCUAUCAGGCUCAGCAGUUCCGGUACGACAGUGCGGUCACCAUCUUGAAGCUGAAGGGCCAGAUUCUGUCCCUGGAAGAGAAGUCGAAGGCCGAGGCAGACAAGAGCACAAAGUAUGGCCAGAUUGCUGCUGAGGAGCUCCCAAAGGGGCUUUAUUGCCUUGGUGUGCGGUUAACCAUGGAAUGGUUCAAGAGUGCCGAGCUUCAGAGGAAGUUCUUGGAUAGGAGCCCAGCAGUGCAGAGCAAUCUGAGGGAUAACAGCCUCUAUCAUUACUGUGUUUUCUCGGACAACAUCAUCGCUGUAUCUGUUGUCGUCAACUCUACAACUCUGAAUUCAAAGCACCCUGAAAAGAUUGUUUUCCAUUUGGUGACCGAUGAGGUGAACUAUGACCCAAUGAGGGCGUGGUUUGCCCUGAAUGACUACAGAGGGGCCAUUGUGGAGAUACAAAAGGUGGAGGACUUCACCUGGCUAAAUGCUUCGUAUGUUCCUGUCCUUAAACAGCUCCAGGAUGCUGCUACACAGAAUUUCUACUUCUCUGGAAGUGGUAAUCGCGGAACACCAAUCAAGUUCAGAAAUCCAAAGUACUUAUCAAUGCUCAACCACCUGAGGUUUUACAUCCCAGAGAUUUACCCAGAACUGCACAAGGUGGUAUUUCUUGAUGAUGACAUUGUUGUUCAGAAGGACCUAUCAGAUUUGUUUACAAUCAACCUCAACGGUAACGUUAUGGGGGCAGUUGAGACUUGCAUGGAGACGUUCCACAGAUUUCAUAAGUAUCUCAAUCAUUCUCAUCCUCUGAUUCGUGCUCAUUUUGAUCCUGAUGCUUGUGGCUGGGCGUUUGGUAUGAAUGUGCUUGAUCUUGUUGAAUGGAGGAACAAGAAUGUCACAGGUAUAUAUCAUUAUUGGCAGGAACGCAAUGCUGAUCAUACCCUUUGGAAGCUUGGAUCUUUACCACCUGGCCUUCUUGCUUUCUAUGGAUUGGUUGAAGCACUGGACCCAAAAUGGCAUGUCUUGGGGCUGGGCUACACAACUGUCGAUCCUGAUACUAUUAAGGAAGGUGCAGUAUUGCAUUACAAUGGAAACUUGAAGCCAUGGCUGAAAAUUGGGAUGGAGAAGUACAAGGGCUUCUGGGACAACUAUGUGGAUUAUUCACACCCUCUGCUUCAACGGUGCUUCAUGCGCUGA